rnacentral:lncRNA from 1 species
GCUGAUUCUCAGUGAGGCCCGCAUCCUCUCUAGUCUAGUCCCUAAAGAGAAAGAGGCCUGUGCCCAGGAGAACUCUGCUGGACCCUGCCAGCUCCCUGAACCUCACCAUGCCUCUGCUGGACGUUUUCUGGGCUUGCUUCAGGAAAGUGAAGUGCUUCCCACUGCUGCAGAGGAGGAAGAAUACCGCUCCUCCCCCAUCACGAUUCCAGCACUUCUUGCUGAGCACAGUUCCUGCUUUGCAAAAGCGACUUCUGGAGACACAAGAUCUGUGGGCUGCCCAUCCUGGGAGAAGAACAAACUUCUCCAUUUCAGAGACACCAGCUGCAGAGUCUAAAAAGAAACCCUUCAGACCCUGAAAUAGUGACCCCCUCAGAUGAAUGCACCUGCAGCUGCCAAGUUGCCUCAUUAAAAUGUCUGUGCCAGGCUUAGUCAAUAGGGCUGAAUCCUGGAAGGGUGGGCACCAGGUGGCUGAGAGGUCUGUGGCUUCUGGAGGAAAGAGGAGUGUCUUUUAGGGGUUGGGUCCGGGCAGAAGAAGUUGCCACCUACAAAGGUGGGCUGGGACUAGUUUUUGUCCUACUUCUUUAGGUUAAAGUUUGAAAAUGUCUAAUUAAGGGCAAACAUGAACACAUUGUCUCAGGCCAAUCCAAGGACCAUCUGGCACAAGUUAUGACUUUAUGUGGAUGUGGUAACAGAAGGAGCAAGGCACUGGGAAUCAAAGGACCUAGAUUUUAGUCCAAAUUUCAUUACCAGUUCACUGUGUGAGCCCACAUAAGGAACUUCCUAUCUCUAGACCAGGGUCUGCAUCUAUAAUAUGGAACUUAUUGCGUGGGGCUCUUGUAUACAUCACACAAGAUAGUGCGUUAAGAUGUCAAAAUGCUGAACAAAUGUUAUUAUUUCUGAGAUCUAGCUCAGGGAAGGAGCAGAACUCUUUGGUUUUUUAUUCAUUUAUUUUUGGAAUAUGUAAUACCUUCACAUGUCUCAAACUUCAAGAGAUAUGAAGAUAUAAAGUCUUCCCACCUCUGUCUCUCCACCACCCAGCAAUCCUCUUGGAGGUGACCAAUGUUACCAGCUUCUCGGGCCCUUGAUGAGUUUAAAGGUCUAAAGUGAGUUUGCUAGGCAGCACGUCAGUGGAGGUGGCUGACUUAUUUGGAGUGGGGGGGGUCCUCCUGAGGGGAACGUGUGGAAAAGGCAAUGGAGAAAGAAUUGUGGAGCAGGAAAUGUGGGACAGCAGUGGAAGAAGCACUAGUUUGGAUGUCAGGAGGCCUGGGAUCCAGUCUUGACUGUUCCACUCAUGGUUGAAUUAUCUUAAGAACCUUCCCCUCUCGGGGCACCUGGGUGGCUCAGUCGUUAAGCGUCUGCCUUUGGCUCAGGGCGUGAUCCCGGAGUUCUGGGAUCGAGCCCCGCAUCAGGCUCCUCUGUGGGAAGCCUGCUUCUUCCUCUCUCACUCCCCCUACUUGUGUUACCUCUCUUGCUGGCUGUCUCUCUCUCUGUCAAAUAAAUAAAUAAAAUCUUAAAAAAAAAAAAAGAAU